rnacentral:hammerhead_ribozyme from 1 species
GCACUGCUGAGGAGUCCCAUAAUGGGACGAAAUGGACGUCCAGUGU